rnacentral:rRNA from 1 species
AGUUUAACUGGGGCGGUUGCCUCCCAAAAUGUAACGGAGGCGCCCAAAGGUUCCCUCAGCCUGGUUGGCAAUCAGGUGUUGAGUGUAAGUGCACAAGGGAGCUUGACUGUGAGACUGACAGGUCGAGCAGGGACGAAAGUCGGGACUAGUGAUCCGGCACUGGCUUGUGGAAGCGGUGUCGCUCAACGGAUAAAAGGUACCCCGGGGAUAACAGGCUGAUCUUCCCCAAGAGUCCAUAUCGACGGGAUGGUUUGGCACCUCGAUGUCGGCUCGUCGCAUCCUGGGGCUGGAGUAGGUCCCAAGGGUUGGGCUGUUCGCCCAUUAAAGCGGCACGCGAGCUGGGUUUAGAACGUCGUGAGACAGUUCGGUCCCUAUCUUCCGUGGGUGUAGGAUACUUGAGAGGAGUUGCCCCUAGUACGAGAGGACCGGGGUGAACGAUCCACUGGUGGACCAGUUGUCGUGCCAACGGCAGUGCUGGGUAGCUAUGAUCGGACAGGAUAACCGCUGAAGGCAUCUAAGCGGGAAGCCCCCCUCAAAACAAGGUAUCCCUGAGGACCGUGGUAGACCACCACGUCGAUAGGCCGGAGAUGUAAGUGCAGCAAUGCAUUCAGUUGACCGGUACUAAUUGUCCGAUAGGCUUGAU